UCAUUCGAUUGCGUUGCGUGUUUUUUCAUGGAUCUGAUGAGCCUUUCCCCAGAUUAUCGACUAUGAUUAUACUGUGCGCUAUAUUUGUUUUUCUCUUUCUUUGGAAGAGAAAUCAAGCCAGAAGCUCUGAUCCUUAUACCAUAUCCAUCCUUUUUUUUCUGUAAUUAUUGUUUUUUUAAAUAAAUUUAGAGGCUUUGAUGGUUUGGAUAGUUCCGAUGAGGAUAAAAUCUAAGGCUGGUUUCUCAUGAACAUUCGCAGUAGCCGCCUGAGCGCUUUCGCCCUGCCAGGCUUGAGAGCCAUUGAUGCUUAAUUCUUCCUUGGAUGUCUGAGUGGCCGCCUGAGCGCUUUCGCCUUGCCAGGCUUGAGAGCCAUUGAUGCUCAACUCUUCCUUGGAUGUCUGAGGCCCCAUUUUCAGUUGAUCCUCAUUUUUGUUAUUUGCUUUUAAUUUUAAUUAAUAUCCCAUUGAUUUGCUUGUUAAAUGAUAGAUUGAAAAUUAUUGUUUUAUGAUUUCUGGACU